AAGAUCUGAUUCCAGGCGGCCAUGCGUACGCCCAUGAGCAUGAAGUCAUCAUUCUCGUGUGUCGAGGAUCUUUGGCUGAACUGCAUCAUGCAGACUUUUCAAAGGAACACUACAAUAAUGUGCACAGACCUUCUUAGUAGGUGCAUGGAUUAAAAAACUCAGAAGAGCCCUCCAGUUGUAAAAUGUUCCAGGAGCAAACAUUUCUUUGUACAAGACAAACAAGAGCAAAGUCAAAACUGCAGGUACAAUCGACCUGGUUCUUUUCUAUCUUCUGGUAACACAGCAGGGCCAGUCUUCACUAGUGACUCCCACUUAUCAAACCGUCUAUUUGUUCAAUCAUAUUUAUUAAAAAUAGAACAGGGUAAAAACUA